AUUCGCCCUUAGAGUUUGAUUCUGGCUCAGGAUGAACGCUAGCGGCAGGCUUAACACAUGCAAGUCGAGGGGCAGCGGGGAGGAAGCUUGCUUUCUCCGCCGGCGACCGGCGCACGGGUGAGUAACACGUAUGCAACCUGCCCCUGUCAGGGGGACAACCCGCCGAAAGGCGGGCUAAACCCGCGUACAUGCCACCGGGGCAUCCCGGAGGCAGGAAAGGCUUCGGCCGGACAGGGAUGGGCAUGCGGCGCAUUAGGCAGUAGGCGGGGUAACGGCCCACCUAACCGACGAUGCGUAGGGGUUCUGAGAGGAAGGUCCCCCACACUGGUACUGAGACACGGACCAGACUCCUACGGGAGGCAGCAGUGAGGAAUAUUGGUCAAUGGUCGGGAGACUGAACCAGCCAAGCCGCGUGAGGGAGGAAGGUACAGAGUAUCGUAAACCUCUUUUGUCAGGGAACAAAGGCGGGGACGUGUCCCCGGAUGAGUGUACCUGAAGAAAAAGCAUCGGCUAACUCCGUGCCAGCAGCCGCGGUAAUACGGAGGAUGCGAGCGUUAUCCGGAUUUAUUGGGUUUAAAGGGUGC
rnacentral:rRNA from 1 species